GACGAACGCUGGCGGCGUGCUUAACAUAUGCAAGUCGAACGGUUUGGUCGUUGGUCAUCAGACGUCAGACGUCAGGAUAGAAGGAAUUCGCAAGGCGAAUUCCAUAUCGAUUCCUACGACUGAUGCCCGAUGACUGACGGCUGAAUAGUGGCGGACGGGUGAGUAACGCGUGGGUAACCUGCCCAUAAGAGGGGGAUAACACUGGGAAACUGGUGCUAAUACCGCAUAAUUCCUGGGAUGUAAAGGCAACUCAGGGUAAAGAUGGCCUCUGUUUACAAGCUAUCGCUUAUGGAUGGGCCCGCGUCUGAUUAGCUAGUUGGUAGGGUAAAGGCCUACCAAGGCGACGAUCAGUAGCCGGCCUGAGAGGGUGGACGGCCACACUGGGACUGAGACACGGCCCAGACUCCUACGGGAGGCAGCAGUGAGGAAUAUUGCGCAAUGGGGGCAACCCUGACGCAGCAACGCCGCGUGAGUGAGGAAGGUUUUCGGACUGU
rnacentral:rRNA from 1 species